rnacentral:rRNA from 1 species
GAUUUAAGGUCCGACCUGCCCACUGAAGAUUUAAAUGGCCGUGGUAUUUUGACCGUGCUAAGGUAGCAUAAUCAUUAGUUUUUUAAUUAAAAUCUGGAAUGAAAGGUUAGAUAAGAAAAUAGCUGUCUCUAUAUAAUUUUAUUAGAAUUUUAUUUUUAAGUUAAAAAGCUUAAGUUUAGUUAAAAGACGAGAAGACCCUAUAGAGUUUUAUUAUAAUUUAUAUUUUGUAUUUUAGAAUUUAAUUAUUAAAUUUAGUUUAUAAUUUAAUUGGGGUGAUUGUGAAAUUUAGAAAACUUUUAUUAUAUAGUAACAUUGAUUUAUGAAUUAUUGAUCCAAUUAUUUUGAUUACAAGAUAAAAUUACCUUAGGGAUAACAGCGUAAUUUUUUUAGAAAGUUCAUAUUGAAAAAAAAGAUUGCGACCUCGAUGUUGGAUUAAAAUUUAUUUUUGGUGUAGAAGCUAAAAUAUUAG